rnacentral:rRNA from 1 species
GGACGAACGCUGGCGGCGUGCUUAACACAUGCAAGUCGAGCGGUAAGGCCCUUUCGGGGGUACACGAGCGGCGAACGGGUGAGUAACACGUGGGUGACCUGCCUUUAGCUCUGGGAUAAGCCUGGGAAACUGGGUCUAAUACCGGAUACGACUCCGCGGUGCAUGCUGUGGGGUGGAAAGCCUUGUGCGGCUGGAGAUGGGCCCGCGGCCUAUCAGCUUGUUGGUGGGGUGAUGGCCUACCAAGGCGACGACGGUAGCCGGCCUGAGAGGGCGUCCGGCCACACUGGGACUGAGACACGGCCCAGACUCCUACGGGAGGCAGCAGUGGGGAAGUAUUGCGCAAUGGGCGGAAGCCUGACGCAGCGACGCCGCGUGGGGAUGAUGGCC